rnacentral:rRNA from 1 species
AUUGAACGCUGGCGGCAUGCCUUACACAUGCAAGUCGAACGGUAACGGGCCUUCGGGUGCCGACGAGUGGCGAACGGGUGAGUAAUGUAUCGGAACGUACCUUUCAGUGGGGGAUAACGUAGCGAAAGUUACGCUAAUACCGCAUAUUCUGUGUGCAGGAAAGCAGGGGAUCGCAAGACCUUGCGCUGAUUGAGCGGCCGAUAUCAGAUUAGCUAGUUGGUGAGGUAAAGGCUCACCAAGGCGACGAUCUGUAGCGGGUCUGAGAGGAUGAUCCGCCACACUGGAACUGAGACACGGUCCAGACUCCUACGGGAGGCAGCAGUGGGGAAUUUUGGACAAUGGGGGCAACCCUGAUCCAGCCAUGCCGCGUGAGUGAAGAAGGCCUUCGGGUUGUAAAGCUCUUUCGGCCGGGAAGAAAUCGUAUCAGCUAAUACCUGGUGCGGAUGACGGUACCGGCAUAAGAAGCACCGGCUAACUACGUGCCAGCAGCCGCAGUAACAC